CCUACGGGUGGCAGCAGUGAGGAAUAUUGGUCAAUGGACGAGAGUCUGAACCAGCCAAGUAGCGUGAAGGAUGACUGCCCUAUGGGUUGUAAACUUCUUUUAUAGCGGAAUAAAACGAGGCACGUGUUCCUUUUUGCAUGUACUUUAUGAUUAAGGAUCGUAUAACUCCGUGCCAGCAGCCGCGGUAAUACGGAGGAUCCGAGCGUUAUCCGGUUUGUGUGGGUUUAAAGGUAUCGUGGAUGGGUUGUUAAGUCAGUUGUAAAAGUUUGGGGCUCAAACGUGAAAUUGCAAUCUAUACUGGCAGUCUUGAGUACAGUUGGGGUAGGCGGAAUUUGUGGUGUAGCAGUGAAAUGCGUAGAUAUCACGAAGAACCCCGAUUGCGUAGGCAGCUUACUAAACUGUGACUGACAUUGAGGCACGAAAGUGUGGGUAGCAAACGGGAUUAGAUACCCUAGUAGUC
rnacentral:rRNA from 1 species